AGAGGACCAGAGGGUGUGAAGGAGGAGGUUACACCAGGAUUCUACACACUUGGCACCGGGCAGCCCACUGUGGAAGCCAAGCCCAGAAAUGCAGGGGCAGCUAGGCCCGCACAGUGCUGCGGAAUUUUAUCUCCAGGGCUUCUCCUCCUCUGUUGAACUCAACCCUGCCUCCAACGACCCAGGCUCGAUGCUUGUAAAGUCUUCAUAAAUCUGUCAGUGGUCCCAAUGCCACGGGCCCGCCACUUGCAGUGCACCAAGUCCCUUUGGGCACGAGCGAGGUCUGAGGAGAGAUGCGCAGGAAGUGGAAUCUAGCUCUUCCCACGGCGGCUCACAGAGUAUCCGGGCAGUCGCCGCCGCCAUCGGAAGGCAGCACUCUAGGCUGUGUGUGAGCACUCACUUGAUCUCGACUUCAGCCAGAGUUCCCUUCACCCCGGCACCUCAUCGCAGCGCCACCUACAGGCGC
ensembl:antisense Gm15524 predicted gene 15524